GAUGAACGCUGGCGGCGUGCCUAAUACAUGCAAGUCGAACGAACAGACACUAAGUGCUUGCACUUGAUGAUGGCGAGUGGCGGACGGGUAAGAAAUACAUAGGUAACCUAUCUCACUGGGGGGGAUACGAGAAGGAAAAGCCAAUAAAUGCUAACAUGGACAACGGCUCACAUCAUCAGGUAAAGACAGUUUGCGCGACCUAUCUCGAUGAAUUCGCGCCGCAUUAGCUAGUUGGUAGGGUAACGGCCUACCAAGGCAACGAUGCGUAGCCGACCUGAGAGGGUGAUCGGCCACACUGGAACUGAGACACGGUCCAGACUCCUACGGGAGGCAGCAGUAGGGAAUCUUCCGCAAUGGGCGAAAGCCUGACGGAGCAACGCCGCGUGAGUGAAGAAGGUCUUCGGAUCGUAAAGCUCUGUUGUUAGGGAAGAACAGCUGAGAGAGUAACUAUGAACGUUUUGACGGUACCUAAUCAGAAAGCCACGGCUAACUACGUG
rnacentral:rRNA from 1 species